rnacentral:rRNA from 1 species
AUGGAGGCGGUGGGCGGCGCCGCGGAGGAGCGGUGGGCGUCGCUUUGCAACUGUGUGGUCAACUUCCUGCUGGAGGAGAAGUACCACCUCACGGCGCUCGAGCUGCUACAGGAGCUGCAGGAGGACGGCCGCCACGCGCAGGCGCUCCGCCUCCGCUCAUUCUUCUCCGACCCCGCCUUCUUCCCCCCCGACCUGGUCGCUCGCGCCUCCUCCUCACCGGCGGGUGCUGAUCCACAGAGUUUGCUAGAAGAGAAAAUUGCAGCAGAAGAGAAGUUGGCACUCACUGAGUAUGAUCUCCGACUAGCCAAGGAAGACCUUACAUGCUUGAAGCUUGAGUUGCAAAAGCAACAAGAAUCAUCUCCUGAUAAUACAAUUGAUGCUUCUGCACAUGAAGGAUUCAACCAACAGGACCAACGAGAUGUCAAAAUUUCAGCAUUAGGCCCUCUGAAAGAUAAUGAACGGAAAGAUCUGAACUGUGCUGUAAAGGAAUACCUGCUUUUGGCUGGGUAUCGACUUGCAGCCAUGACUUUCAUUGAGGAGGUUCUUGAUCAGGAUCUUGAUGUUUGGACUAACAGUUCAGCUUGUGUGCCUGAUGCCCUUCGUCGUUAUUACUACCAGUAUCUUUCAUCUACCACUGAGGCGGCUGAGGUGAUGGUGACACUGAUGACUAUCCAAGGGUCAGCUUUGAAUAAAAAGGGCAUCCCGGUGCAUGUAGCUCCCGCUUACGCAGGGUCGAGGGAAGGGUCCGACCACUUUGGGUCUUUUGUACGCAGCCUUUCCCUGCAUUUCUGCAAGAGGCUGUUUCCAGGACUCGAACCCAUGUUAAAUGCUAAUUCUAUGGGAGAAGCAGCAGCAUUGAUCAAUGAACAUGAAAACCUCAAAGGAACUGAAUCUAUAACUAUUAAGCUAGUAUCAGCAGCGGCUCUGACUGAGAACACACGGAAAGAUCAUAAAAAUACCGAAAGUACUAUUGAAGGUUCCCCAGGUUCAGAAGCACCAGUUUCUUGCUCAACUGCUGGGGGCGGUGGUUAUGGUACUUCAGGAGAAGAUGAAUCUGGCACAGAUACUUCUCCGGAAGGUAUAUCUGUUAAUGGCACUCAGCAUGGAGCUGGUAACAGCCAGGAGAAUUCAGGCAGCAUAUCAGUUUAUGUAUCGGAAGAUAAAGUUAACACUGAGAUAGUAGAGAGUCCAAGUAUACAUAAAUCGUCAUAUAAGAUGGCCUUGGAAACUAUCAAGAUAGUUUCAGAUGCUCUUCCAAAGAUAGUUCCAUAUGUGCUCAUAAACCAUCGCGAGGAGCUUCUUCCAUUGAUCAUAUGUGCUAUAGAAAGACAUCCAGAUAGCGAUGUACGGGAUUCGUUGACUCACACAUUGUUUAAUCUGAUAAAACGGCCUGAUGGACAACAGAGGCUUAUUAUAAUGGAUGCUUGCGUGGAAUUAGCCACGAGUGUUGGGGAGAUGAGAACAGAGACUGAAUUACUACCACAGUGUUGGGAACAGAUAAAUCACCAGUAUGAGGAGCGUAGGUUGCUUGUUGCUCAGUCCUGUGGAGAACUGGCAAUAUAUGUUCGUCCCGAGAUACGCGAUUCCCUUAUCCUAUCUAUUGUGCAACAACUUGUCGAAGAUUCUGCAACUGUUGUAAGGGAGGCUGCAACACAUAAUCUGGCCUUGCUGCUUCCUUUGUUUCCGAACAUGGAUAAAUAUUAUAAGGUUGAGGAGCUAUUGUUUCAGUUGGUCCGUGACCCUUCUGGGGUAGUGGUGGAUGUUGCUCUCAGAGAACUUGUUCCUGCAGUAGUAGGAUGGGGGGGUAAACUGGAUCAGAUAUUGAGAGUGUUACUGUCACAUAUCCUGGCAUCUGCUCAGCGUUGUCCAUCCGUUUCAGGGGUGGAAGGUACAAUAGACUCUCAUCUCCGUGUUUUAGGAGAACAAGAACGAUGGACCAUUGAAGUGCUCCUUCGGAUGCUGACUGAGUUGUUACCAUUUAUUCAUCAGAAAGCUAUAGAGACUUGUCCAUCAAUAGACCCAUCAGAAAACUACAUUUCAGAAUCCAGCCUAAAGCUGUAUGCAACAGGUGAGACAGAAUGGUCAGCAUUUGAGUGGAUGCACACUGAGUGCCUGCCGGAUUUGAUCAAGCUUGCCUGCUUGUUGCCUGCAAAAGAGGAUAGCUUAAGAACAGUGAUCACAAAGUACCUGUUGGCCGUAUCUGGACGCUAUGGAAAAGAUUAUCUCGAGCACAUUAUGUUACCUGUAUUUCUUAUAGCAGCUGGUGAUAUUGAUAGUGGUGAUUUUACCUAUUUUCCUCUGUCAAUCCAGUCCAAAGUUCGUGGUUUCCGUCCGAAAACUUCUGUUGCUGAAAAAAUCGCUAUCAUUUGUGUUCUUCCAUUGCUAUUGUCUGGUAUUUUGGGUUCUCCUUCAAGUCGUCAACAGUUAGAAGAAUAUUUAAGGAAAUUACUUAUCCAAAACACGAAGGAUGGUUCAUUUUCUAUGCAUCACACUGCCGAGAUCAUUGAUGCGAUCCGGUUUCUUUGCAUAUUUGAGGAGCACCAUGGAGUCAUCUUUCAUAUUCUGUGGGAGAUGGUUGCGAGCUCUGAUACCAAUUUAAAAACCAGUGCUGCAGCUUUACUGAAAGCACUUGUACCCUAUGUUGGCGUGAAAGUUGCAUCGACUCAUGUUUUGCCAGCACUCAUUACUCUUGGUUCUGAUCAAAACUCGGCUGUAAAAUAUGCUAGUAUAGAUGCAUUAGGAGCUGUUGCUCAGCAUUUCAAAAGUGACAUGGUUGUUGACAAGAUACAUAUUCAAAUGGAUGCCUUUCUUGAAGAUGGAUCACAUGAAGCUACUAUUUCGGUCAUUCGUGCACUUGCAGUAGCUGUGCCGCAUUCAACAGAUAGACUACGUGAAUAUCUUUUAACCAAGAUAUUUAGACUUACAAGUGCCCCACCUACUGAAAAUGAUAUUGAACGGCGUCGUGAAAGAGCAAAUGUAUUCUGUGAAGCGCUGCGUGCUUUGGAUGCUACAGAUCUUCCUGCUACAAGUGUACGUGAUCUACUUUUGCCCUCUAUACAGAACUUGCUAAAAGAUUUGGAUGCUCUAGACCCUGCACACAAGGAGGCACUAGAAGUUAUAGGCCGGGAAAGGUCUGGAGGUACGCUGGAGAGCAUCGGCAAGGCAAUGGGGGCACACCUUGGGAUCGCGACCUCUGUCAGCAGUUUCUUCGGCGAGAGCAAUCUGCUUGGGAAGAAAGAGGGUGGAGAGCAGCACGACCCUGCUGCUGCUUCUGUUCCUCCGCAGGUGGGCUUACAAACUCAGCAGGAGAACACGAGGUUUGGUCGCAUAAUGAGGGGUGGAUUUGGAGACAUGUUGCGAGGCAAAGCAAAGGGCGGUGAUGAACCCAGCUGA